GAAUCAACUCGAUGGCAAUGAUCAAGAAGGCCCUUUGUGGGGGUAGACGAGAUGUGAUUUCUGCUCAGUGCUCUGCAAGUCAAAGUGAAGAAAUUCAAUGAAGUGCGGGUAAACUGUGGGAGUAAAUAUGACUUUCUUAAGGUAGCCAAAUGUCUCGUUAUCUAAUUAUUAACAUCCAUGAAUGGAUGAAAGCAAUUC
rnacentral:ncRNA from 1 species